CGGGGAAUAUUGGACAAUGGGCGAAAGCCUGAUCCAGCCAUGCCGCGUGUAUGAAGAAGGCCUUCGGGUUGUAAAGUACUUUCAGCGGGGAGGAAGGUGUUGAGGCUAAUAACCUCAGCAAUUGACGUUACCCGCAGAAGAAGCACCGGCUAACUCCGUGCCAGCAGCCGCGGUAAUACGGAGGGUGCAAGCGUUAAUCGGAAUUACUGGGCGUAAAGCGCACGCAGGCGGUCUGUCAAGUCGGAUGUGAAAUCCCCGGGCUCAACCUGGGAACUGCAUUCGAAACUGGCAGGCUAGAGUCUUGUAGAGGGGGGUAGAAUUCCAGGUGUAGCGGUGAAAUGCGUAGAGAUCUGGAGGAAUACCGGUGGCGAAGGCGGCCCCCUGGACAAAGACUGACGCUCAGGUGCGAAAGCGUGGGGAGCAAACA
rnacentral:rRNA from 1 species